rnacentral:lncRNA from 1 species
CCUAGUGGCAAUAAUGACGGAUGUCGGUGAAGGGAAGGGAGAAUACACAGAGGCAUAGCCCUGUGUAGAUGGGGAAACUGAGGCCUAGAUGGUGAAAGGACUUGAGUCAGGGAACAAGAAUGACGUGCUCUCCUCUAGUCCCCUCUGGCAAUAACUGAAUCACCCCAACUUCAGGGUUUUGGACAUCUAGUUCAGAAGCCUCUACAUACAUAUGUGUGAAAAUCUUUCCAGAAGUAUAGGGUUAUUUAUUAACAUAAGAUACAAACACAUUGUACUAAAAUAAUCUCUGAGUUGUAUUUGUAGUACAAAACAGUUGUCCAACCAAAGGUGUGACACAAAACUCCAGUCACGGAAAGCUGGGCUCAAAAGGAUCAGUUUUAGAGCUGAGCUUGAGCUCCUUCUACAUGGCUGUUUGGGAGACUCUGGUCUUUGAUUUUCCAAGGGUGAUCAGAGACAGGGAUGCCAGGAAGGGGCACUGUGAGUGAGCAUGCAGCGUAUGUCCUCUUCCUUAACUUGGUCAGACUCGGAAGUGGGGAGUGUUAGCAUUGUGUCUUUUCUCAUUCCAGAAUCAGAAGGCUGAGCCCAUUAAUGGUUCCUCACCAGACCUUCUUUGGUCCACUCGCUGUCUUCACUCUUCGCUCAUCCUUGGAGGGUACCAGAGGCCAUAUUGGGUCUUACUUUUUGCGAUGCCCCAUAGGAGAAAGAAAACCAAAACCUAUGAAUCACAUCCAAAACUAAGUGAAAGAUUUGAACCCGGUAGGGAGUAUUGCUACUGCAAGCAUUUGCUGAAAGGACAGAGAAUCUGAAAACUCGAAAGCUCUGGGUGAAGAGUUGGACUGGAGCGAGGAGAGUGGUCGCCGGCACAAUGAAGUAUUUUGAGUUUGAUGUUUUCUGACCCUCUGAAGCUAAACUAUAGCCCAUUUCAUUUUCAAACAGCCUCCCGGGAGCCCUGGGAUGACCUCAGUCAGGAUGUUCUCAAACAUAAUCUAGCCUGCGCAGUAACCUGACAAGAAUUGGUUUAUUUAAGGAACGCGGUGGGUCUUUUAGCCUCUAAAGGAACCCAUAGGUCAUUUGUAAAGGAACCAGCAUGACCUGUUGGAACUUCUCUUGGCACUGAUGCUCAGCCGUUUCAGGUUAGAACUUUGUUGCUUUGAGCUGGAAGCUCCACUGAAACUUGUGUAAUGGAGACCACAUAAAAUGUAGUUUCCCUUAAGAUUUUAGGAUGAGCAGACAAGGACUUUAAAACAGCUCUAAUUAAUUCAAGAAAGUAGAGGGAAGUGUGGAGAAUUUCACCAGAGAACUGGGAUCUUUUAAAAAAUAGUCAAAUGGGGAUUCUAAAAAUGAAACAAAAAUGCAGCAUGAGAAAUUAAGAACUCAGUAGAUGGAUUUAACAGCAGAAUGGAUGCAGCAGAAGACAAGAUGAGUAAAUGCAACUAUGGGUCAAUUGAAAAUAUUCCUAGAGUGAAAUAAACAAACAGCAAAAUAUCA